CACCACAGCUCAAACAAGGCUGGAAGCAACACCGUGUCUAUCUGCAGGUACCUGGAGAAGCCACACAGGGACAUCCAUGGGACAGGAUGGCUUUCAUUCUUUAGAUGUUCUGUCAGACGUUGCUCCAUAGAUGGAUGAGUCUUAAAGACAGUGUGCCUGUCACCAAAGGACAAAUCCAUGGUCCUCAGACCAGGCAAAUUCAAAGAUGGGAAACACCAACCAUGGUGGUUACCAAGGGCUGGGAGAGGCCGUGGCGAGUUAGUGUUUAGUGAACUUUUAGUUCAGCAGGAUGAAGAGCCGUGUGGCCCGUUGGCUUGUAACAGUCUGAACGUGCUUAAGGGACCCGGGAGGACACGCUUGGAAGUAACUGAACCAGAAAAAAAUGUAGGCAAUGUGUAUUUUUACCACAGGCAAAGUGUUUUGUUUUUCUGGGUGUUUUGUUUUCUCUGGUAUUUGAGACAGAGUCUUAUGUAGCCCAGGUUGGCCCCAAAUUCCUUUUGCAGCUGAGAAUGGUCUUGAACUCCUGAUUCCCCUGCCUAGGCUUCCUGAGUGCUAGGAUUACUGGUGUGUGACCUUACUCUCAGAUAGAAAGUAUUAUUUACUAAUGUGUGUGUGUGUGUGUGUGUGUGUGUGUGUGUGUGUGUGUAUUUGUAUGCAGCACAGGCAAGCAGAAGCCUGUAGAAGCCAGAAGGCAUUGAAUCCCCUAGGGCUGGAGUUACAGGGAGUUCCAAGCUGAUACAGGAGUGUGGUAACCAAACCCAGGUACUCUGUAGAAGCAGCAAACACUCUUUUGCCUUCUUUUUUUUUAAGAUUCAUUCACUCCAUGUAUAUGAGUACACUGUCGCUGUCCCUAGACACCAGAGAGGGUAUUGGAUCCCAUCUCAGAUGGCUGAAGGCCACCAUGUGGUUGCUGGGAAUUGAACUCAGGACCUUUGGAAGAGCUCUUAACUGCUGAGCUCUCCCUCUAGCCUACAUGAACACUCUUAAUCUAUACUGCAGUAUUAGGGUUCUCUAGAGAAGCAGAGCAUAUAGAACGAAUCUUUUUUUCUAUAUGUAUAGAAGAGAGAUCUAUUAGAGUCACUUAAAGUCUAUGAUCCAACUAAUCCAACAAUGGUGGGCUACGAAUGGAAAGUUGAAGAAUCUAGAAGUUUCUCAGUCUACAAGGCUAGAUGUCUCAACUGGUCUUCAGUAGACACUAGAAUUCCAAAGAAGUAGGCUCUAGUGCCAAUGAAGGAAUGGACUUGCUAGCAAGAAAGC
rnacentral:lncRNA from 1 species